rnacentral:lncRNA from 1 species
CUUUUGGGCUACUGUGGAAUCUUAUUUUCGUGGGUACCAAUUUUCAUGGAUUUAGAAAAACUUGCAUUUUUGUGGAUAUUUGAAUUUGUGGUUUUACCAUUGUAUGCAUACAACCUUAUAGAAAAUAUGUAAUUCGUUAGACAUUUGAUUUAGUGGUUUAUCUGUACCAAGGAGAUACACGAAAAAAAAUGGUGCCACACCAAUAAAAAUGAUGCCACAGUAGUUCAUGUCAUUUAUUGGUAAUGGAAGCUGGAGUUCCGAUUCCACAGUAUUUCAUUUCAUUUAUUGGUGGUGGAAGCCCGAGUUCCCAGAGAAAACCACUGCUCCUCGAUAGGUUAACUGACAAUCCUAGUCAAUUAAGAUUGAAGUCAAGUGCACCUGCACCAGAGGGGUUGAAUUUAACAACAUCAGUGUUGACUGGCUAGUGAUUAUAGUAGUUACUACUUAGAUCCCCUCCCCCUUUUAUGUUGCUUUGUAUUAUUAUGUUUUGAGCAGUGCAUUAUACUUUCCAUACAAUGUAUUUUGUAUAGAUAGUGUUACACUGCAAAGUACAUUCUAUUGAAAAUAUGCUACCAUCUUUUUAAAUGAAAGAUUUGUGCACC